UUAAGAAGGGAUUGUAGUUUAUGAGUAAAAUUUGGAUUUAGCAUUUCUGAGAA
rnacentral:tRNA from 1 species